CAAAAACAUCUCUUUUUGACACAUAAAAAGUACCGUCUGCUCAAUGCAAUUUGUAAAUAGCCGCAGUAUUCUGACUGUGCUAAGGUAGCAUAAUCAUUAGUCUUUUAAUUGAAGGCUGGUAUGAAUGACGAGACGAGAAAAUAGCUGUCUCUAAAAUAAAUCUUGAAUUUUAUUUCUAAGUGAAAAAGCUUAGAUAAUUUUAAAGGACGAUCAGACCCUUUGGAGCUUUAUUUAUUUUAAAUUUUAAUUUAUUUUAGAUUAUUGAAUGAAUAAUAAAUUUUGUUGGGGCGACAGAGAGUAAUAAAUACCACUCUUUUUUUUUAAACAAUUAUAAUUGAAAAAUUGAUCCUUAAAGUAAGAUUAAAAGACUAAGUUACCCUAGGGAUAACAGCGUAAUCUUCUUGGAGAGUUCAAAUCGAUAAGAAGGUUUGCGACCUCGAUGUUGGAUUAAGAGAUUGACAAGGUGCAGAAGUUUUGUUGGAAAGUCUGUUCGACUUUUAAUUUCUUACAUGAUCUGA
rnacentral:rRNA from 1 species